UCAGCUCGGAGCGGGGAGCUGCUGGCGUUUCGAAGCUGUUCUCCGCCUAGGGCUUCUGCAGCCUCGUGCGCUCCCCUGCUUUGCGCUGUUUGCAAACUAAGUACGUGCCUGGGGUGGGGCGAGCCCCUUCAGCCGGGCUUGCGCGCUGGGCACAACUCAGCAACUGAGCGUUACGCCUUGAAGAGAAACACAUGACGUGUGGGUUUGCCAAGCGGAAGAACAUGUCUCCUUGUGGCACAAGAGCGCAGAGCCCCCCCCCCUGUAAGGUUCUUAUGAAAACUCUCUGUGGAAUCUGUCAAACCUACAUUGACUUAUAGAUCAACUAUCAACUUUUUCAAUACUAUUCUUUAAAGUGAGGGAGACAAGGCCAUCAUGAGGCCCAGCUUUGCCUAGAAAUCAUAUGGCUUAUGAAUAUGUAUAUAACCUGUGGCAUGUGUGGUUAGGUGUGAAUGAGGAAUACCCAAUCAAAGGCUCAGGAUCCGUGACCUUUUAAGGCAGACAAGGACCCUGCAAGCAGAUAAAUUAACUGAGAAGCAACCAGAAAAUCUCUCUCUUGGACAAAAUGUAACAUCACAGCAGAAACCUGGAACCGGCCCAGAGAAAGUAAACCCUCUUGCAGAUCCGAAGGGAUCUCCCAAGGAACAUCAUGUCGAGUCUCUGGGAAGCGGAUGCCUGGCCAGCACACCAGCCACCAGCGAAAUCAAAAGUAAUCUACACUGCAUUUGCAGCCUGCCUCCAAACUGCCAGCAUGACUGUGAUGUAUGUAUUACUUUACUCUUAAAAAUCUGUAUCAAUAAACAACCCCAAAAGCAAUACUGCUCCAGCCCACCCUUAGUCCAGGUUUGUUCCUCAGCAAGUCUGAGGAAGUGCAACAAACACAAUGCUACUAAAAGUAACCCAAAUUCUUAGUGUGUGUAUAUAUAUUUGCAUACAGUGUAGCCUCUCCAUGUAUGGAGAGGAAAAUACAUCACAUGGUAGAAAAUACAUCACAAUACAGAAGUGUACCUCGUAGGGCUAGCAAUCAAUUAAAAAAGUACAAUUAAUAGCACUGUUAAACAAUAGUUGAAUACUAUUUAAAUAUUUUUAUAUUUUCUACAUUUUCAAAUAUGGAUUUCAAUUACAACACAGAAUGCAAAGUUACACAGUCCUCACUUUAGAUGUAUUACAAAUAUUUGCACUAUAAAAAAUAGAACUUUUCAGUUCACCUAACAAAAUAAUGUAGUGUAAUCUCUAUCAAGAAAGUUGAAUUUACAAGUGUAGAAUUAUGUACAAAGAAUAACUUAAUUGAAAAAUAAAACAAUGUAAAACUUUAGUGCCAUAAGCAUCCUUGUAGUCUUACUUCUCAUCCAGCCAAUAACAAGAGACUUUUUUUUAUAGUUGUGGGAGAUAAUGUUGCUCACUUCUUUACAAUGUCACCUGAAGUGAGAACAGGCAUUUGCAUAGCAUUGUUGCAGCCAACAUUACAAGAUAUUUGUAUCAGAUGUGCUAAAGAUUCAUGUCUCUUUCUGCUUCAACCACCAAUCCAGAGGACAUCUGUCUAUGCUGACAAAUUCUGCUUAAUAAUGAUCCAAAGAAAGUGCAAGCCGAUGCAUGUUCAUUUUCAUCCCGACUAAGAUGUUACCAACAGAAGGUUGACUUUCCUUUUUGGUGGUUCAGGUUCUGUAGCUUCUGCACUGGAGUGUUGAUCUUUUAAGAUUUCUGAAAGGAUGCUUCAUAUCUCAUCCAUCCCAGAAUUUAGAGGACACUUUAGAUUCUUAAGCCUUGGGUACAGUGCUGUAGCUAUCUUUAGAAAUUUCAUAUAGGUAUAUUUUGAGUUAUUAAAUCUGCAGUGUAAGUGUUCUUAAACAAAAUAUGCUGGGUUGUCAUCCAAGACUACCAUAACACAAAACAUGGCAGAAUUCAGGUAAAACUGUGGAGCAGGAGAUACACUAAACAUUCAUAUACCUCUUCAUGUUUUGAUCACCAUUCCAAAGGAUGUGCUUCCAUGCUGAUUUGUGACUGAAUUCUGUGAAAUAAUUGUGUGUGGCACAAAAACACCUUGUAAUGCUGGCUACAAAAGUGCCAUGCAAACACCUGUUCUAACUUUGACACUUUAAAUAAGCAGGCAGCAUUUUUGCCCGUAAAUGCAUACCAACUUGCUUUUCUUAGUGAUUAGCUGAACAAGAAGUAGGAUUGAAUGGACUUAUAGGCACUAAAGUUUUACAUUGUUUUGGUUUUGACCUGUUAUGUAACAACAACAAAAAAUUACAUUUGUAAAUUGCAUUCUACAAUAAAGAGACUGCACUACAGUACUUGUAUGGAGGUGAAUUUUACAGUGCAAAUAUUUAUAGUUGAAAGUAAUAUAAAGUGACCGCUGUACACUUUGAUUUCAGUUACAAUACAGAAUACAAUCUAUUUGUAAAAUGUAGAUAAAAUCCAAAAAUAUGUAAUACAUUUGAAUUGAUAAUCUAUUGUUUAACAGUACCAUUAAAAAUGACUAAUUUUUAAUCCAUUAUUUUUUGAGUUAAUCACAUGAGUUUACUGGGAUUAAUCAACAGCCCUCGUACCCAGUUGACAAUUUUUAUGGGUUUGGUUUUUUUUAGCAAUUUGAAUACAACAACCUGGUUCAAAAGAGAGGGUGAUUACAAAAUUAAUUGAGAAUGUACAAUAAUUUAAGAGCUACUGUCCA